rnacentral:antisense_RNA from 1 species
UGCGAGCAAAGUUCCUAUGGCAUCCACUUACCAGGGCAGGAAACCCUACUUCCACCAGACAUUUAUUUGUUUAUUCACUCAGGCAGGUGGUAUGUUGGAAGAAGAGUGGACUUUGGAAUCAGAAAACCUGGAAUCCCAACUUCACCACUAACCGAGAGACCUUGAGCUGGUUCCUAAACCACGGGGAACUUCAGUUCCACUACAUGAGUUAUUGCAAAGGUUGAAUCAGAGUUGUGACACUGGCCAGCACACGUGUGAAACCAGGGGCAUCCCCUAUUGAUAAGGAGCCCAGCCCAAGAGCUUCAAGGGAAAUUGACCCUAGCCCCAGCUCCACUGAUGGGCUUCAUGAUUCAGAGAGGAAUCUCACUCCCUUGGUCAAAGUGAAUGGCUCAUAAAUCUGGGCCUAAGUCAAUCCGUGCAAGACAUUCCCCUGGCCAUAGGGAUUGGUUAAAAAAUGGACAUGUAACCCAGUUUGGGCUAAAUGAGAUGUGAACAGGAAAGUUAUUUGAUAGCUUCUGAGGAAGGUAGCUUCUCUUCUUUCUAGAGAGCCACUGGAAAGGUAGGCUUUUCUCCUCUAUGUGUUGUGGAGAGAAAAAAAAGUGAAACUGUGUUCCUCUCAGCCCACACAGAAGGCUCACACUUGGUGAAGGGAAGGGUGGUGAAGAUUACAGAGAAUAGCCCUGAUGGAACCACACCUGAUUUCUACCUGACCUCUUAAUUUUUUCAUUUGUACAAGUCAGUAAAUGCCUUUUAAUUUUUAAACAGAUAAUUACAGCAACUUAUAGAAGUACCUAAGGUAUUAAGUUACCAUCAUGAAUACAAAGAUAAGCAAGACAAACUUCAAGGGGCUCACCACCUAAUAAAUAUUAUACUU